rnacentral:lncRNA from 1 species
GCUGUGAGAAGGCAUACCCUCUGAGGCAGUGGUAAUAUUCUGUGCCACAAACAGCCAAAAUGUCAAUGCCUAUAAUUCUCUUAGCAGUGGGAACCACAGUCCCUGUUUAGUGCAUGUAUUUGGGUCGUAGGGAUUCACUGUUCAUUACAGCAAGCCAUUAAACAUCAGAUACAACAGAGCCAUCUGUCUCACUGGAUCUCUUCUUACCAGAAAAUUGGAUGGUAUAAAUAAUAUACUUACAAAAAAAACUACAGUUACUAGGGAAUAUUAAGUUCAUAAGAUGGAAACACACAAAUCCAAGACAUUUAUUAAUUCAUUCCACAUACAUGUAUCACAGGCUACCGCCAUGUGCUGGGAGUUCAGUUAUAAACAAAAUAAACAAAUGCCCCUACCCUCAAGGGGCAUCUGGAGGAGGGAGACUACAAAUAGGAUAAAUUCAUAAAAUAUAUUGUUUUAAAAAUAGUUUUUAAGAGAAGUUUAAGUCUACGGCAAAUUGAACAGAUGGUAUGAAGAGUUCUUAUAUAUCCCUGUCCCCACAUAUGCAUAGCCUCCUUCCAGUUUGUUGUUGUUGUUGAUUCUAGAAGUGUUCUUUAUAGUUGAAAUUAAAUAGUUAUCUUACUUCAAAAGAAUAGAUCCUAAAAUAUUGUGCAUAUGUGGCAAUAUAUUUCUAAAACCGCAUUCACAAAAUACUUACAUACCAGUCAGAAUUCUAUUGCCUUCUGUUUCCCAAAAUGAGUCAAUGUCAAUAACAGUCUUUUUAUGUUACCAAUUUGUUAAAAUAUUCACAGACUCAUAAUAGAAUACACAUUAAGUACAAAUGUCUAACUCACUGUGUUAGUUUGUAGUUACUACGUUUAGAAGGUUGUUUUUUUUUUUUGUCAUGCUAGGUUGCCUCUGUGCAUCAAUCUAAAUUGAUGAUUUUGUUUUCCUUGGAAAACUUUCUUCCUUUAUCCGUGAAACACUACUCUUGUGUGCUUUUUCUCAGUUUAGUCUUACAAAUUCUUUUAAUUAUUUUUCGCCAUUUCCUUUCCUACAAACAGUUAAAUACAGGUCUGUAUUUCUUUCUUUCCCAGGCAACUUGUUCUGAUGAAUAUUUUCCUUCCUUUGCCUGUUUUUUUUUUAAUCUAUCCAUCAUCCAUACAUCCAUCUAUCCACUAUUAUUAACAUCCAUCUAUCCAUUAGCAAAGAUUCAUUCAGAAGCUAUGUGCCAGGCACUAAGUUAGGUAUCAAGGAUAUUGACAGAAGACAGAUGUAGUUCCUUCCUAAUUCUAGAUAAGCGAAACACAUGAACAAAAAUGAAGUCUAUAAAAUAUUUAUGAUAGCCUGUGGCAGAAAAUAGUGUAUGGAGGGUGGAGGACACUAAGAAGGAGAUGAUUCUCCCAGAAAGGUAAAGCAUAAGAUACAUAAAGAAAAUGUUAUGAUUCUUAACACAGGGCUUAACGUAGUACACAUUUGUUGAAUGAAUAAAUAAGUAAAUUUACCAAGUUUGAGGUUCAAAACUGACAUUUUCUUAUUUAAAAUUGGGAAGGAAUAAUGUUAAGGUAAAAAACAUUAGGAGAUAAUUGUCCAUAACUCAUAGAGUUGUUGAUAGGAUCAAAUGAGUUAAUAAAGGAAAAGCCCUGAGAGUUUUAUGUCUGACAUAUAAUAAACACUGUUCAUAGGAUACCAACAAGACCAUUCAAUAAAUCAUGGCACCCCAUUUUCUGAGCAUUUGAGUCCAUGAAUAUUUAACCAUACAGAGUUGUUUCCCUGCAUUUUCUGUAUUGGUUAGAAUGUGUCAUUGGCACUAAAGAGAGAAUUUUAAUAAAUAUUGAAGUCAUUGGAAAGAAAGGAUGAGGAGAGUGACUACUCACAUAGGCUUUGGGGGUGAGUGUGUUGGUGUCUGCACAGUGAAUUGGGUCACCUCUUAACAAACCCUGCAAGGGGUGUCUUUCUUUCCUUCCUCUUUCAAAUGUGAGAAUAUACUUAGCAGCUAUUGUUUUCAACUUAGAAGACCAGAGCUGAAUUUCUGAGAUGUCAGAAAAUGUCCCUUCAGUAUUUUGUUGCUAUUUCUGAAGGAAUUUCAGGCAAGAACAUACAUUAGAACAGAGAAAUGUGUGCUAAUACCUCAUGAAGUCUUCUGGAACAAGUGACAACUCUGCC